UAUCAACAUGCAAAAAAUAUUUAUUUUAGUAUGUGACAGAAAUUCGCAUCAUUAAUGUAAUUAACAGGCGGAGCUUUUUAAAUGAGGAUGCAGCAUUCAGUGCCACAAAUGAUGUUAUGGAUUAUGGCAAGAAUAAAGAAGCUUUUAAAGGCAUGUCCAUCAACUUUUUCUGAGAGAAAAGAGCCUUGAAGCCGUGCAUUCCUGUUGCUUCCUGUUCUUCGCCUUCCUCCUUUAUCCCACGUGGGACAUAAUACAGACUGAG
ensembl:lncRNA